rnacentral:rRNA from 1 species
UAGAGUUUGAUCCUGGCUCAGGACGAACGCUGGCGGCGCGCUUAACACAUGCAAGUCGUGCGAUACCUUGAGCGAGUCUUACGACAAGUUCAAGGUAGAGCGGCGGACGGGUGAGUAACACGUGAGUAGCUGUCCUAAGGAGGGGGAUAACGCCUGGAAACGGGUGCUAAAACCCCAUAUGCCUCGCAAGAGGUGAAAGUGUAGCUUGCUACAGCCUUAGGGUGUGCUCGCGGCCUAUCAGCUAGUUGGUGAGGUAACGGCUCACCAAGGCUAAGACGGGUAGCCGGCCUGAGAGGGUGUACGGCCACACUGGAAUUGAGAUACGGUCCAGACUCCUACGGGAGGCAGCAGUGGGGAAUCUUGGGCAAUGGGCGAAAGCCUGACCCAGCGACGCCGCGUUGGGGAUGAAACCCUUUGGGGUGUAAACCCAUGUUGUAGGGGACGAAGAAAGUGACGGUACCCUACGAGGAAGCCCCGGCCAACUACGUGCCAGCCGCCGCGGUAAUUCA